rnacentral:miRNA from 1 species
AGAUGCCCAUUCGCGCGGUCCAUG